rnacentral:lncRNA from 1 species
UUUCGUUAACAUUUUGUUUUCAUAAAUAUCUUAAUCUUUUUCUUUUCAAAAUUCAGUUUAUUUUUUCAAUUAAGAUAAGAUCCUACCAUCUUAAUAAAAAAAUCUCUUAAUUCUCUAUGAUUUAUUUAUGCGCUAGGUUUUUGACUCGAUUACUAAAACAAUUCCAAUUUUUAGGUUUAAAUAGAAACCUUCCUCACUAUUUUUUUUUAUUAUACUUCAU